rnacentral:rRNA from 1 species
GACAGAGGGUGCAAACGUUGUUCGGAAUUACUGGGCGUAAAGCGUGCGUAGACGGUUAUGUAAGUCGGGUGUGAAAGCCCCGGGCUCAACCUGGGAAUGCCAUUCGAGACUGCAUAGCUAGGGUGCGGAAGAGGGAAGCGGAAUUUCCGGUGUAGCGGUGAAAUGCGUAGAUAUCGGAAGGAACACCAGUGGCGAAAGCGGCUUCCUGGUCCAGCACCGACGUUCAGGCACGAAAGCGUGGGGAGCAAACAGG